CUCGGGUGAGGGGCUUUGAAGGCCGAAGUGGAAAAGGGUUUUACGUGAACAGCAGUUGAACAUGGGUCAGUCAGUCCUAAGAGAUGGGCAAGUGCCGUUCAGAAGGGAUGGGCGAUGGCCUCCAUUGCACUUGGCCGAUCGAAAGGAAGUCUGGUUCAGAUCCCUGAACCGGGAGUGGCAGAGACGGGUGCCGAGCCCUUCGCGACCAAAUUCUUUUUAGGUGGAAGAUGUGGCAAGGUUCCUGUAUUUUAUGAAACCCACAAGAUGCUAAACUUGGCAUUUGUAAAAGACCUCCAAAAAAGGACCGAGUU
rnacentral:ncRNA from 1 species